rnacentral:lncRNA from 1 species
ACAACCAUAUUGCCCUUAACAACCCCAUCAACCUGCAUGCAUCGAGAUCUCCACUAUCAAGCAUUGACCCUAACAAUCCAUACAUCUCAACCCAUAAGUCCAGCAAAACACAACCUUCUUUUUUCGUUCAUUCUGAAAUUCAAUAGAAAACAAGAAACAACAUCAUGAAUACUAUCCUCAAACAUUCAUUAGCAUUCCAGCAAAAUUUUAUUCCAAAUCCAAUGAACAGCUAUCCAUAUUCAUUAUCAGGAAUUGGAAGAUAGAGAAAUUACACAAGAUCUACUAAAAAAAAAAAAAAAAGAGAAAGAGAGGGCAGAAGAAAGUUUCGGGCUCUCCUCCACGAAAACGCCACGCCGCCUUCUUUCCUCCUGCCCUUGGCAGACGCCUCCUCCGUUGGCAGCUUCAUCCUCCGUCUCCAACAGCAACCUCCCUCAAUUUGCUCUCUUUCUCGAGGAAGACGACGAAAGCCCCACCUCCGCCUCUAAAGAUGCGGCAAAUGCCGACAAUAUCUCAGAUACCGGUCCUCCGCGGUGCGUCAAACUCAGAUCUGCUACCACCUAGGUUCAGCGAACGAAGGGAGGCACCCCCUCGCUCCGACGAGCGGCGCCGCCUCUGAUGGCGGUGUGGAAAUCACCGCAAACCACCGAGUGGCCCGCCUGUAGCUCCGUUACGCCCAUUCUUCACCGUCAACCGGCGCAACUCACGCCUACAGCGGUCGCCAGAAUCGCCUGGCAGCGCAUCGGACUUUGCCACCCACUGCAAGGCCGUGGCCGCAAUCACCACGGCUGCUGCUCGGGGACGCCCACCGCGUCUUGUCCAUCUUCUUUCUUCUCC